GUCCUCACUUUAUACUGAUGUAAAGGGUUAAAAAAAGUGUAUAUAAUUCAUUAAAAUGUGUAUCGUCUAAAGCUAAAAACAAAGGUUAUCAAAAAGUAGAAAAUGGAUUACAAGAUUUGAAAAUUGUGUUAAAAGUCAUUGGGACAGUCAGAACAAAUGUAUUGAGUUAAAAAUAGACCCCAAUAUAUUUUUUUAUGUGUAUGUGUCUAAAAUAGCUGUUUAGAGCCGAAUUCCAGUGCACUGAACUUGUUACUAUGUUAUUGCAAUCCUCAAUCAGGUCACUAGAGGGCGCAUAGCGCUUGUGAGGAGCAUAAUACCCCAAAGAGGCAAGUUCUAAACUGUGUUGCUUCUUUGUAUUUACAUACAGGUGGGUUUAUUGUCCUCAAAAUCACAAGCAUGGACACCAGUAUAAUGGUUAAGAGUGUUGGGAAUUUAGUAAGUGAAGUAUAACGGUUGUAGUUGAGUAUUUUUACAGUUAGGUAUGAGUGAAAAGUAGAUGUUAAGCAUGCUAGGCUAGCGCACCUGUUGCUAGUAAGUAAUAAGAUUACGGAGCACGUGGAAAUGCUGAGACACAUUAAAGGGGUUUGUUUUGCUAAUGAUUCAGAAAUCAGAGCUAAUGUAAACAUGUCAUGUUCUUAUUUGUGUAUAUGUUUCUUGUUGACUUGAAAUAGAGACAGUUGUGUGUGAAUGUGUGAUAUUUGAGGCUGAGUAUGCUAAUUUGAGUAAGUAAAAAACACAGCUACUCAGGUUAAAAUUGUAUAUAUUUAAUAAAUAAAUAAAUCCUGCAGCCGAGCUGAACACAGCUAAA